GAUGAACGCUGGCGGCGUGCCUAAUACAUGCAAGUCGAGCGAACAGAUGAGGAGCUUGCUCCUCUGACGUUAGCGGCGGACGGGUGAGUAACACGUGGAUAACCUACCUAUAAGACUGGGAUAACUUCGGGAAACCGGAGCUACUACCGGAUAAUAUAUUGAACCGCAUGGUUCAAUAGUGAAAGACGGUUUUGCUGUCUCUUAUAGAUGGAUCCGCGCCGCAUUAGCUAGUUGGUAAGGUAACGGCUUACCAAGGCAACGAUGCGUAGCCGACCUGAGAGGAUGAUCAGCCACACUGGAACUGAGACACGGUCCAGACUCCUACGGGAGGCAGCAGUAGGGAAUCUUCCGCAAUGGGCGAAAGCCUGACGGAGCAACGCCGCGUGAGUGAUGAAGGUCUUCGGAUCGUAAAACUCUGUUAUUAGGGAAGAACAAAUGUGUAAGUAACUAUGCACGUCUUGACGGUACCUAAUCAGAAAGCCACGGCUAACUACGUG
rnacentral:rRNA from 1 species